AGACCUGGAGGAGGGCUCAGAGAGGGCACCGGGGUCCGCGGCAUGCACGGUCAAGCAGAGCGGACCCCGCGAGCCUCAAGAACACCCACCCGCCCUGGGAUCCUGCAUUUCCAGAGCCUUCCUGCCCUACAUCUCCAUCUUUCCCCGAGCCAAUCGGACCAUCAGUGCUCGGGUGUCCACGACAGCGGAGUGGCAGCGUCCACUUGGCGUGGCGAUGCUGAGUGUUUGGAGGUGGGAGGCCAGCCUCAGCGGCCACUCUGCCCCCGACUGCCCAGGCAAUCCUGCAAGCCUCGGGGGGCCAUCGGCAGGAUCAGGCAUGACGCAGGUACAGCUCCAACUGCAGUGACGUCAUGCCUGAUGCUCUUGGAAACAUCGUGUUGUCACAGGGCUGCUGUGCAUUCGAAGCCCCCCAGCAGCAAGGGGAAGGGUGAGGAGCGGUCAGUCGGUGAGGGUGGCACCCAGGGCAAGGUGCCCCAGUGGGGGCUAAGUGUGAACGUCUCCCCAGGAGUGAUUCGUCUGGCACACACCCUUGCCCUUGUGGGAUUCUUCCAAACUGCCCGGGAGCAGCCACUGGACAGCGGCUCCAGCUCCGGGACCCCAACAAGGGCCAUCAUUCUGAGGGCAAAAGAGGGGCGAACCGUUCCAUCUUCCAAGCCUAGCGAGUCAACCGCCUUAUGAUCCACAGUUGACAGAAGCAAAAACGGACGCAGAGAGAGGCCAUAUGACCACCCCCGGUCCCUCAAGAAGGUGGCAGAGGGAGGAGUGGAACCCAGAAUCCACCCAAGAUAAGCCACAAGACCCCCGAGACGAGCCACUGACUACAAGUGAACAGAAACCCGGGCUUCUGGGUCCAGGCAGCAGAGGCAAAGCCAGAAGAAGACAAAUCAGGGACAACAUUGUCUCCAUGCCCCGCCUGCAGGGACUUUCUCCCUUGGACUGAUGGCGCCAAAAUGUAGCCAGACACUCCCUCUGAAGGACACCGAGGGCCACAGCUAGUGACGUGACUGCCACGGUUUUACAAGAGACCCAUCCGCCAGACCAGCUCUGCCCGGGCCCCUCGGGAGGCGGAGGCUGGGAAGGCUCCCCCUCUGUGCGCAGAAACCGGCAGCCCACGGCAUUCAGAGUAGCGUUGCCACCAACGACCCCGCACCUGAGCAGGACUGAGCAUGGUAAGAACUUGGCCCCCAGGAGACACCCGGGUGGCUCAGUCGGUUAAGCGCCCGCCUUCAGCUAGGGGACUUGAUU